ACGCUGGCGGCAGGCUUAACACAUGCAAGUCGAACGGUAACAGGGAUUAGCUUGCUAAUCUGCUGACGAGUGGCGGACGGGUGAGUAAUGCUUGGGAAUCUGGCUUAUGGAAGGGGAUAACUACGGGAAACUGUAGCUAAUACCGCGUAAAAUCUUCGGAUUAAAGGGUGGGACUUUCGAGCCACCUGCCAUAAGAUGAGCCCAAGUGGGAUUAGGUAGUUGGUUAGGUAAAGGCUGACCAAGCCGACGAUCUCUAGCUGGUCUGAGAGGAUGACCAGCCACACUGGAACUGAGACACGGUCCAGACUCCUACGGGAGGCAGCAGUGGGGAAUAUUGCACAAUGGGGGGAACCCUGAUGCAGCCAUGCCGCGUGAAUGAAGAAGGCCUUCGGGUUGUAAAGUUCUUUCGGUGACGAGGAAGGUUGGUAGGUUAAUAGCCUAUCAAAUUGAUGUUAAUCACAGAAGAAGCACCGGCUAACUCCGUGCCAGCAGCCGCGGUAAUACGGGGGGUGCGAGCGUUAAUCGGAAUAACUGGGCGUAAAGGGCACGCAGGCGGUGACUUAAGUGAGAUGUGAAAGCCCCGAGCUUAACUUGGGAAUUGCAUUUCAUACUGGGUCGCUAGAGUACUUUAGGGAGGGGUAGAAUUCCACGUGUAGCGGUGAAAUGCGUAGAGAUGUGGAGGAAUACCGAAGGCGAAGGCAGCCCCUUGGGAAUGUACUGACGCUCAUGUGCGAAAGCGUGGGGAGCAAACAGGAUUAGAUACCCUGGUAGUCCACGCUGUAAACGAUGUCGAUUUGGGGAUUGGGCUUUGAGCUUGGUGCCCGUAGCUAACGUGAUAAAUCGACCGCCUGGGGAGUACGGCCGCAAGGUUAAAACUCAAAUGAAUUGACGGGGGCCCGCACAAGCGG
rnacentral:rRNA from 1 species